rnacentral:lncRNA from 1 species
GCGGCGCGGACAGCGGCGGCCGCUAAUCGCUCACGCCCGGCUCGGCUGCUCCACUCUCGCGGCUCUCCCACCUUAUCCGCUCGGGCCGCUCUGAUGUCAUUGCCUGCCUCCUUCCCCUGCCCCUCUCCCCGCCUCUGCUUUGCCCAGGUUCAAAAGCGGGAGGGCUGCGGCGCCGGCCCGCGCUCUGCCUCCUCCGCCUCCUCCUCCGCCGCGCCCGGUACCCGCUGCCCGCGCUCCCCGCCCCGGCUCCCCGGGGCAGCGCGCUUCCUGCCCGGCCCUGCCACUGCGCCGCAGAAGCCCCUCGGGGAGACACCGGCCCUCCAACCGGGGCCUUCUGCCCUGGCUGCGGCGCCGAGGGGAGGCGGCGGCGACAGCGGCGGCGGCACACCUGUGCCCGUGCGCACCGGCGGCGGGACAGAGCGCUGCGGGCACUGGGGACGGACGCCUUCGGAUCCGCCUUAAAACACUCACACGUGCUGCAGUCUUUCAAGUUUUCGUGCAGCCGCAGCUACAUGGACCUAGAGGAAUGGGAGCUGGAGCACGUCCUUACACAGUUCAGUCUGAAGACCCAGGUUUGAUAGCGUUUUUUAUUUCACCGCUUCUCUCUACAGCCCACCGUGAUUUCAUAGGAAUUGCUCUGCCUCAGCAAUUCCCACAGGCUGCAGACAGCGGAGAGGUGCCCCUUUCCCUGCCAUCGCACCGGGCUCCUUUGUGUCUCAGAGCUCCCAUGGAUCCUUCCCGACUCUGCUUUAUUAAUGACAAAACCAGUAAGAAACACAGAGCAGGCGGGAUUCCAGGAAACCGUCCACACUUCAUCAUGUCUUCAGACAAUGCGGAGAGGCAGGACUAAAUCCAGCCGGGCUUGGGGACAGUAGAGCGGAGCCCUUCGGCAUCCUGCCACCUAGCGGAGCCAGCCCCGGGCCGGCAGCCCGCCCCGCUCUGCACCGCACCGCUCGGCAGCCGCUCCUCCACACUCAGUGACAAGGAUACUCAGCUAAGAAGUAAAGUUAGGAUGCAGAUGCCAGAGUAUCAUAGGGUCUCAACAUUGUUAAGGCUGGAAAAGACCACUAAGAUCAUCUUGUCCAACCAUCAGCCCAUCACCAUCAUGCCCAAUAAACCAUAUCUCCACGUUUCUUGAACA